CUCCGCGCCUUGUGCGCGGAGCUUUUUCCGACAGUAAAAGGGGUCUGCCCGUG
rfam:Corchorus olitorius cultivar O-4 contig05431, whole genome shotgun sequence.